AUUUAACCUCCCCAAAAUAGAAACAGUUCAAUUGUUUCUUCAGGUAAAAUGCUAAUACCUAUUGCUGGUGCUUAAUUGUACACAUUCAGAGCAGUCUUAUUAAAGUCAAUGGGGCCCUUAGCAAAAUGAAGUAGUCUUUGCAAGAUUGGGUUAUGUGUUGAUAUAUAAAAUACAAAACCUUAUUUCUGUUUGAAUUUACACGCUGCAUACAGUGGGAGAAACUUGCUAGAAAACAUGAGCACUUUGGACUGAGUUAUGUGGAAGAGCUGAAUAUGAUUAAGGAACAUGAGACUAUAUGCAGGGAGUCUCAGUGGGGUAGUCUGAAGAUCAAAUAAGCAAUAGUUACUGUUCCUAGGAACGUGAGCAUUUAGCCCUUAUUGGAAGAUUUAACACCAGAUCAAUCACAUCAGUUAAGAACAUUAUCCUCUCCAGAGGUCGAUGAGUCCACAUAAGCCUGUCAUGAAUAUAAAUAAAAAUAUUCCUAAUUAAUUCAUCGGGUGUUCUGAAGUUCACAGAAAGGAUCUCUUCUGAAGUAAGAGACAUGAAAAAACAAACUCCUCAUCUCAGGGUGAUGACUCAGAGAAAUAAAUCCGUGGCAAAAGGCAGUGCUGACAAAAAUCGGGGAACUUGCUCUGAAGAAGUUAACAGAGAAAGUGCCACUUGUAGUCAUGAAAGUACAGUUGUAAAACUGCCAGUAAUAGUAUCAUUUGCAGGUACCACUAAGAAAAUCCUAAUGGUCAAGCACGCAGCACCAUCUCAGAAGCCAAACUGCAGGCCUAAUGUUCAUGUUCAUAGAUCCCCUAUCUCAUUAAAAAAGACAAAAGCUAUUAGUAAAGAAAAGGAUAGAGUGCAUAUGCUACAGAUGAAUCUCCAGAAUUUAAAAAGGGAUAAAACUGGAGAAACAGAUGCUGUAAUUAUAGAUAGUGAAGAAUUUAGCUCUACAGAUUCUGAUACAAGUAAAAGCUCUUCAAGAAAGGGAAAAACAAUCUGGUAAAGCUGUAAGAAGCGAAGCAGAGUAAUUUCAAAAGCAAAGCAGCAAGAUUUAGAUGUUCGAUUGGGAAGGGUGCUGAGAAAAGGAAGCAAGCAGCUAAGUGUGAGGUCUGCUCAAGAGCAUUUGAAAGAGGCAAGAGAUGUGACUAGACCAGACACUUCAAAAAUGUAUGAGAACUACCAGCAGAGCAAACCUGAAGAGCCUACUUCCACACCAGCAUUGCCUGUGAAAGAGGUUGCAAGGUCUAUUGAUGAAAUAGUUGCUUCCCUGCAGUCUACUUCUCUAUCUCCCUCAGACCAGACGAUCAAAGAACUCCUGGAGAGUGUUCUUGGCUAGAACUACAAUAUAAAAAUGGAAGCAGGUGAACCAGAACAAGAGCAAUAUUUUUCUCUUGGCAUUCUUGUUUGACACUAGUUUUCUGCUCUUGCUUAUACAACAGGCUCCUGAACAUGAGGAAAUGAAAACUGAAUAUCAAGUCCUGCCAAGUUUUUACCAAGCAAGCCUGAAGACACCAGUAGUUCAGAAAGAAUUUCAAGCAGCAGAAAAUGAAUCUCUAGCUAGAGAUGACCUAACAUAUAAUAAGCAGGUAAGCAGGUGUUUAGUACUGUUGUGACAUGGUAUUAAUUUUCCCAUGCUUAAGGUUUGAUUCUUUAGAGCAUAUAGAUGUCUGCAAGCUGUUUCCUUACCACCUGCCCUUUAAAAGAAGGUUUUCUAUAAAACAGGUCUUCAUACUGGUCUUGCAGCUUAAGGUUAGAGGAGAAAACAAAUUAAGGUUCAUUCGGUCAGAUGUUGGGUUAGGCUUUUCUUUAUGAGAUUGGAAAGAAGAUUACAAAUGAAACAAUGUAUAAAUAGAAUACUAAUCUACAUUUAACAAGUGGAUGCCUUCCUGGAAAAUGGCAUAAUGCUCAAUAUCCUUUUGCUUUUGUGAUAUUUCACAUACACAUGACAAAAACUCUCAUUCUGAUAUCAACUCUAUAAAACUUAGCUUUUUAGUAGAGAAAACAUAUUAGGUUUAUAGAGACAGUAACACAGAGGACAAAUUUGCUGCUAAAACCAAGUUAUGUCUUUUCCCACAUGUUGUCAGUUUCUAGUGUUCUGGUAUUUCAAGCCUAUAGUCAGAUACUAAAAUAAAAUCUUAACCUGAUUCCUUCUGUAGGUUCAAUGGAAAGAAUUACUUUGCCU